rnacentral:rRNA from 1 species
GCAUAUCAAUAAGCGGAGGAAAAGAAACCAACAGGGAUUGCCCUAGUAACGGCGAGUGAAGCGGCAACAGCUCAAAUUUGAAAUCUGGCUUCGGCCCGAGUUGUAAUUUGUAGAGGAUGCUUUUGGUGAGGUGCCUUCUGAGUUCCCUGGAACGGGACGCCAGAGAGGGUGAGAGCCCCGUAUAGUCGGCCACCGAUCCUCUGUAAAGCUCCUUCGACGAGUCGAGUAGUUUGGGAAUGCUGCUCAAAAUGGGAGGUAUAUCUCUUCUAAAGCUAAAUAUUGGCCAGAGACCGAUAGCGCACAAGUAGAGUGAUCGAAAGAUGAAAAGCACUUUGAAAAGAGGGUUAAAUAGCACGUGAAAUUGUUGAAAGGGAAGCGCUUGUGACCAGACUUGUGCCGGGCUGAUCAUCCAGUGUUCUCACUGGUGCACUCGACCCGGCUCAGGCCAGCGUCGGUUCUCGUAGGGGGAUAAAAGCUUCGGGAACGUGGCACCUUCGGGUGUGUUAUAGCCCGUUGCUUAAUACCCUUGUGGGGACCGAGGUUCGCGCUCUGCAAGGACGCUGGCAUAAUGGUCAUCAGCGACCCGUCUUGAAACACGGACC